GUUGAAACACCAGUUCCCAUACAAUGACUGAAAUUAAACAAUGUCAAGCCUGGUCAGUAGCUAGAUGGGUGACCACUUGGGAAUAUCAGGUGCUGUAA